rnacentral:rRNA from 1 species
UACAGAGGGUGCAAGCGUUGUUCGGAAUUACUGGGCGUAAAGGGCGUGUAGGCGGCUUAACAAGUCAGAUGUGAAAUCUCAGGGCUUAACUCUGAAAGUGCAUUUGAAACUGUUAGGCUAGAGUGCUGUAGAGGUUGGCGGAAUACCCAGUGGAGAGGUGAAAUUCGUAGAUAUUGGGUGGAACACCGGUGGCGAAGGCGGCCAACUGGGCAGUAACUGACGCUGAGGCGCGAGAGCGUGGGGAGCAAACAGG